rnacentral:tRNA from 2 species
GGAGGGGUCGGAUAGUGGUUUAUUCCAACAGUCUUGAAAACUGUCGUCCGUAAGGACUCGUGAGUUCGAAUCUCACCCCCUCCGCCA